CAAAGGAGCAAUCCGCUGAAAGAUGGGCUCGCGUCCGAUUAGGUAGUUGGCGGGGCAACGGCCCACCAAGCCGACGAUCGGUAGCCGGACUGAGAGGUUGAACGGCCACAUUGGGACUGAGACACGGCCCAGACUCCUACGGGAGGCAGCAGUGAGGGAUAUUGGUCAAUGGGGGAAACCCUGAACCAGCAACGCCGCGUGAGGGAAGACGGUUUUCGGAUUGUAAACCUCUGUCCUCUGUGAAGAUGAUGACGGUAGCAGAGGAGGAAGCUCCGGCUAACUACGUGCCAGCAGCCGCGGUAAUACGUAGGGAGCAAGCGUUGUCCGGAUUUACUGGGUGUAAAGGGUGCGUAGGCGGCUUUGCAAGUCAGAAGUGAAAUCCAUGGGCUUAACCCAUGAACUGCUUUUGAAACUGCAGAGCUUGAGUGGAGUAGAGGUAGGCGGAAUUCCCGGUGUAGCGGUGAAAUGCGUAGAGAUCGGGAGGAACACCAGUGGCGAAGGCGGCCUGCUGGGCUCUAACUGACGCUGAGGCUCGAAAGCGUGGGUAGCAAACAGGAUUAGACACCCUGGUAGUCCACGCUGUAAACGAUGAUUACUAGGUGUGGGUGGACUGACCCCAUCC
rnacentral:rRNA from 1 species